rnacentral:rRNA from 1 species
GACGAACGCUGGCGGCGUGCUUAACACAUGCAAGUCGAACGGAAAGGCCCUGCUUUUGUGGGGUGCUCGAGUGGCGAACGGGUGAGUAACACGUGAGUAACCUGCCCUUGACUUUGGGAUAACUUCAGGAAACUGGGGCUAAUACCGGAUAGGAGCUCCUGCUGCAUGGGGGGGGUGGGAAAGUUUCGGCGGUUGGGGAUGGACUCGCGGCUUAUCAGCUUGUUGGUGGGGUAGUGGCUUACCAGGGCUUUGGCGGGUAGCCGGCCUGGGAGGGUGACCGGGCACAUUGGGACUGAGAUACGGCCCAGACUCCUACGGGAGGCAGCAGUGGGGAAUAUUGCACAAUGGGCGGAAGCCUGAUGCAGCAACGCCGCGUGCGGGAUGACGGCCUUCGGGUUGUAAACCGCUUUCGCCUGUGACGAAGCGUGAGUGACGGUAAUGGGUAAAGAAGCACCGGCUAACUACGUG